GUCUCUCCUUAUCCCACACGGCCGCACGCUCCUUAUCUCCUUAUCUCCUUCCUGGACCGUGGCUUCUCUUUCUCCUUCUCCUCCUUUCCUCUCUCACUCCUGUCCAGCACCAUCUCCACCUCGAUCUCAUCUGGCCCGAUGCCCACGCCACCAAGGAGCUGUGCUCUACCACUGCACCGGCCUCCUCCAAAGCCAGACCCCGCCGCGCCGCCAAGGAGCUGUCGCUGCACCGCCCUCUACCAACGCCGGACUCCGCCACGCCGCCAAGGAGCUGCUGCUGUACUGCCCUCCCCCAACGCCGGACUCCGCCGUGCCGCCAAGGAGCUGCCGCGGGUCUUCUCGGGCCUCGACGCUGCUGGAUCCGGCCAGCGACUGCCCCGCCGCCGCGGAUCCGGUCGGCCGCCGCCCCUUGCCCCGCAGGUUCGUCUCCUUCUCUCGGUUCCCUAUCUCCCUCUCCGUUUCUCUCUCUUGCUCUCUCACUCUUGCAGGAUGUCGGUGUCAAGGAGUAGGUGCUCUCUCUCUUCUCUCACUCAUCUCCACCGGCGGGCGCCUCUCCCCUUCUACGUCUCAUCUCCGACCCCAACUGCCGCCAGAUCCCCAUCGGCGCCCAUGAGGAUGAGUAGGCCGGGCGGCAGCUCCGGCAGAGCCGGCAUCCCCGACCUCAGCCACCGUCGUGGAGAGCCGGAACCACAGCCCUCACCGUCGUGGAGCCGGAACCGCAGCCAUCACGUCGUGGAGCAAUUGCAGAUUUUUUUUUAAUUGUCUGUCCAUUUUCUCUCCUGUGUACCAGUUCUUGUGUGAUCAAUCCGAUUUUGUGAGAUGCUAUACCCUGUGAUUUUGUGAUUUGUUCAUCCGCGACCAAAAUUGGCAGGCCACAGGCCUGUUUUUUUUUAAAUCAUGAGAAUGUUAUCCGUGUCGGGCUUCACUUGGAGCCCGCCAAAGAUGAAUAUAGCAUCAGCAACGGGCAAAGAGCCCGCCACUGAUCCACUGAUGAUGGUAUCAUCACUAACAGGUGGAACGACCGUUAGUGAUGAUGCCCAUCAUCACUGGCAGGAAGUUAGUGGCGGGCGUCUCAUCCGUUGGUGAUGCACUUUUUCGACCGUUAUUGAUGACCGUUUCUGCAGUAGUGCGUGCAAUACUUUUCUUGUUGCUCUGCACAUGCAUUUAGGUAAGUUUGGCAAAGUAGUAAGUUGCCUUGGUUUGAUUGCUUCUCUUAUACAUGUCGUCUUAUAGUAGUUAGUCUCUUUUGAAUGUUUAUAUCCAUCUAAUUUUAAUGAAUAUUCAUCUUACAUUCGUGUGGUCCGUUUAUGCCAGGACAUCAGUUAUUUAGAGCGCAAAGAUACAAGUUCUGCUGGAAGCACUUCAAGAGUGGCUCAAAGCUUUUCUAUUUGUUUUCUUCAUCUCCUCAAAUCCUUCCCAUUUGUAAUGUCUAAUUGAUCUUGUCGCAAAAAACUGAGCUUUUAAUGAGUUUGUUAUAUGUUUAUACUGCAUGAUAGCAUGCUGGAACUUCACAGGUUUAAAAGACACUUCUCAGUUCAUGUGUU